GGCAGUUUCAAAAACAGCACCAGAAAAACUAGCAGUACUAUGUAAAAAAUAGGACCAGCAACAUUGCAAUAACAAAAUUUUACAAGUUACAAUGGUGGACACAGUAAGACAAUUGAUGAUCAACAAAGAAACCAAAAAAAGUUAAUGUCCAAUUGUCAGCAUAACAAACCCAAUGUUAAAAAAGAUACCCCAUCAAAAGCAACAUUUUAAAUGAUUGAAUCUGUCGACAAGAAAUUGUCAGAUAAAAAGCCAAUUAUCAGAAAGAUGCCACAUCAAAAUAGAACUAGUUCUAGUAUUCAAUCAAUGUACAUAUGCACCAUCAAAGUCACUGAUGAUUCCUUCCUGAGAUUCAUCAUGUUAGCAGAAAGGACACUAAUAACAUCAAAAUCGUGUGACUGCAAACACCUAAAGAGGAGCCUCUGCAGAAAGAAAAAUGAGUCAGUUUAAAAA